UCGGGAAUAUUGCGCAAUGGAGGAAACUCUGACGCAGUGACGCCGCGUAUAGGAAGAAGGUUUUCGGAUUGUAAACUAUUGUCGUUAGGGAAGAUACAAGACAGUACCUAAGGAGGAAGCCCCGGCUAACUAUGUGCCAGCAGCCGCGGUAAUACAUAGGGCAGGCAGUAUUCGCAUUGAUUGGUGGUAAAGGGUGCGUAGAUGGAGGAGCAAGUUGGUUGUGAAAUCCCUCGGCUCAACUGAGGAACUGCAACCAAAACUACUUCCCUUGAGUGUCGGAGAGGAAAGUGGAAUUCCUAGUGUAGCGGUGAAAUGCGUAGAUAUUAGGAGGAACACCAGUGGCGAAGGCGACUUUCUGGACGAUAACUGACAUUGAGGCACGAAAGUGUGGGGAGCAAACAGGAUUAGAUACC
rnacentral:rRNA from 1 species